GAUGAACGCUGGCGGCGUGCCUAAUACAUGCAAGUCGAGCGAACGGACGAGAAGCUUGCUUUUCUGAUGUUAGCGGCGGACGGGUGAGUAACACGUGGAUAACCUACCUAUAAGACUGGGAUAACUUCGGGAAACCGGAGCUAAUACCGGAUAAUAUUUUGAACCGCAUGGUUCAAAAGUGAAAGACGGUCUUGCUGUCACUUAUAGAUGGAUCCGCGCUGCAUUAGCUAGUUGGUAAGGUAACGGCUUACCAAGGCAACGAUGCAUAGCCGACCUGAGAGGGUGAUCGGCCACACUGGAACUGAGACACGGUCCAGACUCCUACGGGAGGCAGCAGUAGGGAAUCUUCCGCAAUGGGCGAAAGCCUGACGGAGCAACGCCGCGUGAGUGAUGAAGGUCUUCGGAUCGUAAAACUCUGUUAUUAGGGAAGAACAUAUGUGUAAGUAACUGUGCACAUCUUGACGGUACCUAAUCAGAAAGCCACGGCUAACUACGUGCCAGCAGCCGCGGUAAUACGUAGGUGGCAAGCGUUAUCCGGAAUUAUUGGGCGUAAAGCGCGCGUAGGCGGUUUUUUAAGUCUGAUGUGAAAGCCCACGGCUCAACCGUGGAGGGUCAUUGGAAACUGGAAAACUUGAGUGCAGAAGAGGAAAGUGGAAUUCCAUGUGUAGCGGUGAAAUGCGCAGAGAUGUGGAGGAACACCAGUGGCGAAGGCGACUUUCUGGUCUGUAACUGACGCUGAUGUGCGAAAGCGUGGGGAUCAAACAGGAUUAGAUACCCUGGUAGUCCACGCCGUAAACGAUGAGUGCUAAGUGUUAGGGGGUUUCCGCCCCUUAGUGCUGCAGCUAACGCAUUAAGCACUCCGCCUGGGGAGUACGACCGCAAGGUUGAAACUCAAAGGAAUUGACGGGGGCCCGCACAAGCGGUGGAGCAUGUGGUUUAAUUCGAAGCAACGCGAAGAACCUUACCAAAUCUUGACAUCCUUUGACAACUCUAGAGAUAGAGCCUUCCCCUUCGGGGGACAAAGUGACAGGUGGUGCAUGGUUGUCGUCAGCUCGUGUCGUGAGAUGUUGGGUUAAGUCCCGCAACGAGCGCAACCCUUAAGCUUAGUUGCCAUCAUUAAGUUGGGCACUCUAAGUUGACUGCCGGUGACAAACCGGGGGAAGGUGGGGAUGACGUCAAAUCAUCAUGCCCCUUAUGAUUUGGGCUACACACGUGCUACAAUGGACAAUACAAAGGGCAGCGAAACCGCGAGGUCAAGCAAAUCCCAUAAAGUUGUUCUCAGUUCGGAUUGUAGUCUGCAACUCGACUACAUGAAGCUGGAAUCGCUAGUAAUCGUAGAUCAGCAUGCUACGGUGAAUACGUUCCCGGGUCU
rnacentral:rRNA from 1 species